GUGGGGAAUUUUGGACAAUGGGCGCAAGCCUGAUCCAGCAAUGCCGCGUGCAGGAAGAAGGCCUUCGGGUUGUAAACUGCUUUUGUACGGAACGAAACGGUCCGGGUUAAUACCCUGGGCUAAUGACGGUACCGUAAGAAUAAGCACCGGCUAACUACGUGCCAGCAGCCGCGGUAAUACGUAGGGUGCAAGCGUUAAUCGGAAUUACUGGGCGUAAAGCGUGCACAGGCGGUUUUGUAAGACAGGCGUGAAAUCCCCGGGCUCAACCUGGGAAUUGCGCUUGUGACGGCAAGGCUGGAGUGCGGCAGAGGGGGAUGGAAGUCCGCGUGUAGCAGUGAAAUGCGUAGAUAUGCGGAGGAACACCGAUGGCGAAGGCAAUCCCCUGGGCCUGCACUGACGCUCAUGCACGAAAGCGUGGGGAGCAAACAGGAUUAGAAACCCCGGUAGUCC
rnacentral:rRNA from 1 species